rnacentral:piRNA from 1 species
UAGUAGAGAACUACUGUAUGCCCCAAGGGA